AUUGAACGCUGGCGGCAUGCCUUGCACAUGCAAGUCGAACGGUAACAGGUCUUCGGAUGCUGACGAGAGGCGAACGGGUGAGUAAUACAUCGGAACGUGCCUAGUAGUGGGGGAUAACUACUCGAAAGAGUGGCUAAUACCGCAUGAGAUCUACGGAUGAAAGCAGGGGAUCGCAAGACCUUGUGCUACUAGAGCGGCCGAUGGCAGAUUAGGUAGUUGGUGGGAUAAAAGCUUACCAAGCCGACGAUCUGUAGCUGGUCUGAGUGGACGAUCAGCCACACUGGGACUGAGACACGGCCCAGACUCCUACGGGAGGCAGCAGUGGGGAAUUUCGGACAAUGGGCGCAAGCCUGAUCCAGCAAUGCCGCGUGCAGGAUGAAGGCCUUCGGGUUGUAAACUGCUUUUGUACGGAACGAAAAGCCCUGGGUUAAUACCCUGGGGUCAUGACGGUACCGUAAGAAUAAGCACCGGCUAACUACGUGCCAGCAGCCGCGGUAAAAC
rnacentral:rRNA from 1 species